CGACAAAAAAUGGCCCAAAGCUUAUCCUGCUUUGGGCCUAGGGGAAUGGCUCCUACAGAGCCUGCGCUAAUGAGUGUAAUACAUAACAAUUCUUAUCUUUUAGUGUAGUGCAUCGUAGUCAGUUCGCGAGGCU
rnacentral:sRNA from 1 species